rnacentral:lncRNA from 1 species
AGCGCCGCGGUCCGUGAGGGCUGCGCCGGCUAAGGGCGCUCCGGGCGGCUCGAGAAAAGGGGUUACAGGGGCCCUGCGGCUAAUUAGGGGCUCUUGCACAGGCAGGGAGUGUUGGGCAUGUGAAGGCAGCAGGGUGUUUCGGUGGAGUUGCUGAGGGAAAAGCUGAAGUAGUUCAGGCAGGACAGAAUGGCUUCUGAGGGGGAGAGCUGAGGGAACUUGGGAGAGCCGAGGGGAUGCUUAAGGAAAAGCUGAGGUAGUUCAGGCGGGACAGAGCAGCUUCUGAGGGGGAGAGCUGAGGGAAUGUUUUGAGGUAAAAUCUGAAGCGAACUGUGAGGGACAGAAUUUUGAGGUAAAAUCUGAAGUGAAUUAUGNNNNNNNNNNAUGACGGACAGAAUUUUGAGUGUUCCCAGCUGUGAAUUCCUCAGCAACAGGAGAGCAAACUCAGCAAAACCUGGUUUUACUCAUGUUUGUUGUGCUUCUGGGCCAAGCAUAAAGAAUUCUCCACGUGGCAGAGCCUCCACUUGCUGAGUUUUAGGGGUUGCCUGAUUUCCAAUACCCGCCUGCUCCAAACAAUUUGCCAUUAAGAACUGGGAGGAAUGCCUGAGUGUGCUGUACAGCAGAAGAGGUUGGUAUGGCUGGAGGGCUGCUGGUGUUUGGGCGGUGAUGCCGAGAAGGGAACAGCAGACUGGCCG